AUGGCCCUGAAUCGAGGCAGGCAGUCUUCUUACACUGUUGGUUUUGAGCAGGAGUAUAAAGGUAUUGCCCUGUGGUCUAAGGGCCGAUUCAGAACUUUAGAAAUGUGAUGGUCCUGCCAGGGUCCUACAGCU
ensembl:snoRNA